AGGACGAACGCUGGCGGCGUGCCUAACACAUGCAAGUCGAGCGAGGAGAUCCUCGGGAUGAUCCUAGCGGCGGACGGGUGAGUAACACGUGGGCAACCUGCCUCAUAGAGAGGAAUAGCCUUCCGAAAGGGAGAUUAAUACCUCAUAACAUUGCAGUUUCGCAUGAAACAGCAAUUAAAGGAGCAAUCCGCUAUGAGAUGGGCCCGCGGCGCAUUAGCUAGUUGGUGAGGUAACGGCUCACCAAGGCGACGAUGCGUAGCCGACCUGAGAGGGUCGAUCGGCCACAUUGGGACUGAGACACGGCCCAGACUCCUACGGGAGGCAGCAGUGGGGAAUAUUGCACAAUGGGGGAAACCCUGAUGCAGCCAACGCCGCGUGAGUGAUGACGGCCUUCGGGUUGUAAAGCUCUGUCUUCAGGGACGAUAAUGACGGUACCUGAGGAGGAAGCCACGGCUAACUACGUGCCAGCAGCUGC
rnacentral:rRNA from 1 species